rnacentral:tmRNA from 1 species
GGGGGUGAUGGGCUUCGAUAGAAGCAGAUGGUUAUAUUGGCAUAACGAGGCGGCUUUGGCCUCGCAAAUAGCAAAGCAACACAAUAAGUGCCAACUUAUUCUCAAAAGUUAAGGUAGCGUUCGCCAACAUGUUUGGCGUUCGCGCCUUGGCUCCGUCAUUCGCUUAAUUUGCGUUUGACCAUCGCCUUAGCUACGCCCGUCGGCUAAAAGCGGUGCCACUUCCGGGCUUACUCAAAAGUUAGGCCGCGCGCUUUUGAGAAAAUGGGGUCUGGCGACAGACCCAAAAUUCAGCGGCUAGCCGAAGAGAUUUUCGUUCGCUUUUAUCCCUUCGGUAAAAUACCAAGCCGAACUAAUUAUGUAGAAGGUAUAAUCAUGGCUCUCUAGACGCGAGUUCAACUCUCGCCACCUCCACGA